UCCGAGAGUGAAUCGAGAGAGAGAGUGUGAGAGAGGGACAGAUCGUGAGAUCAGGGAGAGAAGACAAGUCAGGCGACAGGGAGAAAUAAAGGAGCCUUGGGUCAGUCUUGUGGUUGAUCGCAAAGAGAUCGGUUGAGCGUGAUACAAUAAAAAAAAGAAAUUGAAUAAAAAAAGCCGAAUAAAUAAUUAAAAUGUGUGACGAUUACGACAAUGGCGCAUGUCGAGUAUUUUCAGUUUGGGGGCUACCUCUCAUCAUACAGAGCGACAACGGACCUCCUUUCCAGGGAUCAGAAUUCAUCGAAUAUUGGGAAAGUAAAGGAGUGAAAGUGCGGAAAUCGAUCCCUUUAAGCGCGCAAUCCAACGGAGCCAUCGAAAGGCAAAACCAAGGAGUUAUUAAAGCCUUGGCAGCGGCAAAACAAGAAGGUAGGCCCUGGAGAAUGGCGUUAGACGAGUACAUCCACGCUCACAACACACGGAAGCACCAUUCAUGAUUAGGAGUGACGCCGUUCGAGCUGUUAGUCGGUUGGCGAUAUAGAGGAACAUUUCCGUGUUUAUGGAACUGGAAAAACAAAUUAGACAGAAAUACGGUCCGAGAAAAUGAUGCGUUUUCAAAACUGGUUAGCAAGCAGUUUGCUGAUAAUCGUCGAGGAGCGAAGGAAAGUAACAUAAUGGUAGGCGAUAUCGUAUUGACUACUGUUUUACAAAGAUCUAAGACAGUUCCUACUUUUUCGAAGGAGAGGUUCACAGUGUUAGCAAGGGAGGGAGCAAAAAUCGUUUUAAUUAAUGGGAAAGGUGAGAAGUUAACUAGAAACAUACAAGAUGUAAAAAGGGUCCCCAAUGGGGCAACAGAACAAUCAAUUGAGGAGGAAUUAGUAGAUCCAAUUGAAACUACAGAAAUCGAUUAUAGCGAGAGUGAUCAUUUAAAAAGACCCAAAAGAAUCAUACAAGUCCCUAACAAAUACAAAGACUCAAUUAUGUAUCAUAUUUGCUACCAAGAGUAGGGGUGAUGGAAGAUGUAGGGAUCAAGAGUGAGAGAGAGAGAGAAGUUUAGUGAAAUCAGAGAGAGCGAAAAAUUGAAACAUGCAAAAAUGAGGAUGAGAGAGGAGAGAUUGGACGAUAGACGAGAGAUAGAGAUGGAGAAGGCGCGCGGAAAAGGAGACGGACGUCUACCGGUAGCUAGCGGUAGCUGGGAUCAAGAGAGAGUGAACUCCGAGAGUGAAUCGAGAGAGAGAGUGUGAGAGAGGGACAGAUCGUGAGAUCAGGGAGAGAAGACAAGUCAGGCGACAGGGAGAAAUAAAGGAGCCUUGGGUCAGUCUUGUGGUUGAUCGCAAAGAGAUCGGUUGAGCGUGAUACAAUAAAAAAAAAAAGAAAUUGAAUAAAAAAAGCCGAAUAAAUAAUUAAAAUGUGUGACGAUUACGACACUCACCAUGAACUUCCUGGCUUGAAGUCGAUAUAGAA